rnacentral:rRNA from 1 species
CGCUAUCACUCCUACGGGGAGGCAGCAGUAGGGAAUCUUCCACAAUGGACGAAAGUCUGAUGGAGCAACGCCGCGUGAGUGAAGAAGGGUUUACGGCUCGGUAAAAACUCUGUUGUUUAAAGAAGAACAUAUCUGAGAGUAAACUGUUCAGGUAUUGACGGUAUUUAACCAGAAAGCCACGGCUAACUACGUGCCAGCAGCCGCGGUAAUACGUAGGUGGGCAAGCGUUGUCCGGAUUUAUUGGGCGUAAAGCGAGCGCAGGCGGUUUUUAAGGUUCUUGAUGUGAAAGACCUUCGGCUCAACCGAAGAAAGUGCAUCGGAAACUGGGAAACUUGAGUGCAGAAGAGGACAGUGGAACUCCAUGUGUAGCGGUGAAAUGCGUAGAUAUAUGGAAGAACACCAGUGGCGAAGGCGGCUGUCUGGUCUGUAACUGACGCUGAGGCUCGAAAGUAUGGGUAGCAAACAGGAUUAGAUACCCUGGUAG